rnacentral:ncRNA from 1 species
AGAAUUAUUAAGCAAAGAAGAUCCCGUUGAGCUUGAUUCUAGUCCAACUUUGUGAAAUGACUUAAAACGUAUAGAAUAAGUGGAAGCUCUUUAAAAUUCACUAGUAAAAUACUACUAUUGUUAAUGUUAUUUUAUUGAUUCCAUGAGGUAGAGGUGGAACUUUGUCCCUACUUUUGAUUUUAAUGUGUCCCUUGAGGCUCCAAUCCAAGUAGAAGACAUUGUUAAGUAGAAAAUUUUGCUAGAAUGGCAUAUCUAAAAGAUAAUAUAGGUAUUCUAAGAUGAGUUCAACGAGAAAAAUAAUCUCAUAUAGAAUAAAAGGGUGAAAGCUCAUUUGAUUUUGAUUUUCAAGAUGAAUAUAAAUUGAGAAAGCAUGGCCUAUUGUUCUUUUAGUCUUUUUGGAAUUUGAAGCUAGAGGUAUCAAAAAAGUUACUACAUGAAUAAUUGGCUUGUAACAACAAAGCAUUCAUAGUAAUAUUACUUUUUGAUCCUUCAAUAUCCGCUCUUUCUAUAAUUAUAAAGCAGAAUUCAUCAAGUAUUAGAUUAUUCAUCCACUAAUAUAGAAUGUGAGCUAGAUUUAAAUCGUUGUGAUACAAGUUAGUUUUAUGAUCCCUAUUGAUGAUCGAUGUUGCAAUAGUAAUUCAAUUAAGUAUAAGAGUAAUCAUUGAUUUAUAUAAUUGAUCAUUGCAUUUGAUUGAAAAGUCAAUGACAUAAAGCUACCAUAUUUAAAAUUAUUAUUGAAUGCCUCUAAGUCAAAAUCCAUGCUAGAAGCAGUACUUUCUUCUUCUCCAAUUAUUACUUGACUAUUAGUAGGGAUGUCUAUUGAAAGCUCUUCCAUAGUGGUGAAAGAUGACAAUUUGGAUGCUUAGCAUUAUAAUUCCAAAUGAUGUAAGAGCUGAAUCCUUUGGAGAUGAUUUAAAUAUGGAACGAGGUAUUAUAAGUGGUAGAGUAGCCUUGCUACUACAAUCCAUUGAGAUUCAACUUCACCAUCUCAAUGAUUU